UCUGCUGGUUUCAAGUCAUCGCUAUCUUCUACCCCUGCUCAUCGAUCCCCUCCAGAUACCUGAUGCAAGCAGAUUUCUUGGGAAAAAGGAAUAAUAAUGGGGAAAGAAGGAUCAGCUGGUGGAAGGCCUAAGGAUGUUGAAGCGUGGAAACACGUCACUGUAUUGGAAGGGAAGAAGAAGAAAGUAAGGUGCAAUCGCUGUGGAUUUGAAUUUGCAGCAAGUACCAAUCGAAUCAAGUCUCAUAUUAAUCAAAUUAGGGGCAAGGGUAUUCGAAUUUGUACUUCUCCUCUUUCCAACAAACACACCAGCAGCUGCCAGAAACAGGAUCUCUUUCAUUCACAAGGACAAAGAGAUCAUAACAAACUCAUCAACGAAAGAAUGCUCGAUUGUUAC